CCUACGGGUGGCAGCAGUGAGGAAUAUUGGUCAAUGGGCGCGAGCCUGACCCAGCCAAGUAGCGUGAAGGAUGACUGCCCUACGGGUUGUAAACUUCUUUUAUAAAGGAAUAAAGUGAGGCACGUGUGCCUUUUUGUAUGUAUUUUAUGAAUAAGGAUCAGCUAACUCCGUGCCAGCAGCCGCGGUAAUCCGGAGGAUCCGAGCGUUUUCCGGAUUUAUUGGGUUUAAAGGGUGCGUAGAUGGGUUGUUAAGUCAGUUGUGAAAGUUUGCGGCUCAACCGUCAAAUUGCAAUUGAUACUGGCAGCCUUGAGUACAGUUGAGGUAGGCGGAAUUCGUGGUGGAGCGGUGAAAUGCUUAGAUAUCACGAAGAACUCCGAUUGCGAAGGCAGCCUACUAAACUGCCACUGACAUUGAUGCUCGAAAGUGUGGGUAUCAAACAGGAGUAGAUACCCUAGUAGUC
rnacentral:rRNA from 1 species